rnacentral:rRNA from 1 species
CAGUAGCCGCGGUAAUACGUAGGGUGCGAGCGUUAAUCGGAAUUACUGGGCGUAAAGCGUGCGCAGGCGGUUCGUUAAGACAGAUGUGAAAUCCCCGGGCUUAACCUGGGAACUGCAUUUGUGACUGGCGAGCUAGAGCAUGGCAGAGGGGGGUAGAAUUCCACGUGUAGCAGUGAAAUGCGUAGAGAUGUGGAGGAAUACCGAUGGCGAAGGCAGCCCCCUGGGCCAAUACUGACGCUCAUGCACGAAAGCGUGGGGAGCAAACAGGAUUAGAUACCCCUGUAGUCCCUGUCUCUUAUAU